GGGGUAAUGGCAGAGAGGUUAAUGCAGCGGUUUGCUAAACCGUGAUUUCGAAAGAGGUCCGCUGGUUCGAAUCCAGCUUGCCCCGCCA
rnacentral:tRNA from 1 species